UACGUAGGUCCCGAGCGUUGUCCGGAUUUAUUGGGCGUAAAGCGAGCGCAGGUGGUUUAUUAAGUCUGGUGUAAAAGGCAGUGGCUCAACCAUUGUAUGCAUUGGAAACUGGUAGACUUGAGUGCAGGAGAGGAGAGUGGAAUUCCAUGUGUAGCGGUGAAAUGCGUAGAUAUAUGGAGGAACACCGGCGGCGAAGGCGGCCUGCUGGACCGUGACUGACGUUGAGGCUCGAAAGCGUGGGGAGCAAACAGG
rnacentral:rRNA from 1 species